UACAACCCCGUCUAAUGCUUAAACACCAUCUUAUAACUAACAUACUUAUUUCCAAAUCCCAAGCUUCCUUUCCAUCUUUUUUUACUUGUCCCAAAUUCCAAAUCUCACCCUUUUGACAAUUCAUUUCUUCUUUAACCAAAUACAAAAGAAAAAAAAAAAAAAACCUAGCCACCACCAAAACAUUCUCUCUGCCGCUCGUCUCUACCGCCGGACAUUGAAGCAAUCGCAUACUUGUCUACCACCAGUAAGGUAAAUAACAAGAACCCUCUUUCGAUUCCUUUUUGUCUUGGUGAAUAAGUAUGUAUUUGUAUGCAUGUAUUUCAGAAAUCCUUUGCUGGACACCAUCUCAAGUCGGUUUCUUGUGGUUUAACAUCUUCACCAUCUUCUUCCCAAACUAGAUUUAUAAAAGAAGAAGAGGUUGAGAUUAUCACCCAUGGUUGGAGCGGAUCCUGUCAAAACUGGUAGUAGAAUGAGAUUCGGAUUUUAUUCUUGGAGCAUAGUCACAUAAUUCGCUCAAAAAGAUGCGAAUUUCGUUUUGGUACGUUUCGUACCAUACGGAAUUCGUAUGCGUAUAAUACGAUGCCAAUUCGCGUAUCUUAUUCUUCAAUUCAGCGCAUCAGGUUCAUGAAUUCAGCGAAUUUCCUUUAUCAAUUCAGCGAAUUUCUUUUAUGUACAAAGAUGUGAAAUUAAAGUUUUAUGCACAAGAAUGGUGACGAAGAUGAAAAAAUUAAACCUUACCUGUGAUGUGAUGAUGAACCCUAGUGAAAAUGGAGGAGACGAUGGAGAUGGAGGCUGACAUAAUAUGACGGCUGCGUUUCUUUAAUCUAUUUUAACCUAAACCUCUUUUAUUUACAUAUUUCAUCCUUUAUGUUUGUGUUAUUAUAACUUUUAAUCUAAAGCUUUUUUAUUAAGUUACAUAUUUCAUCCUUAGACCUCAAUACUUUUAUUUUUUAUCAACUUUAACUUAAAACGUUUUUUAAUUGUUUGCUUUUUUUCUUAUUUCAUUAAGAAAUGUGUAUACCGAACCGGACGAAAUGGUACACCGAACCGAAUCGUACCGGAUCGUACCGAAAUAAACCUACCCCCCUCCGAACCGAAUUCAUCACAACUAGCGAAUCGCGAACCCGAAUCGCGUACCCGAACCGGAGCGAACCGCGUAUUAGGUUUACUAGAUAUACAUAUUAGCAACAGAGAAGCUUCCAAGACCCAAAAAGAAGUGCUAGAAAGAUGUGGCACGACACGAGAGAGGCUACGGAUAAUGAUAUAUAUAUUUUGUUGAUGCCGAAGUUUUAUAGCGAGUUAGGUAUUUCGUUAGUUUAGCUUUGUGUAUAGAUUAUAUGUAGUUUGUUAUGCAUUCAACAAAGUAUUGUAAUUUGACGGGUUUAUUUCCGAAUUGCAUGUGUAUUGGGUUGAUUUGAAAAUGUUCUAUUGGUGUAUAUAAGCUUGAUUUGUACA